UACGGAGGGUGCAAGCAUUAAUCGGAUUUAUUGGGUGUAAAGAGCGCGUAGGCGGGUCAGCAAGUCAGAUGUGAAAUUCCGGAACUCAAUUCCGGAGCUGCAUUUGAAACUACUGAUCUUGAGGAUAGACGGAGAAAACGGAAUUCCACAUGUAGCGGUGAAAUGCGUAGAUAUGUGGAAGAACACCGGUGGCGAAGGCGGUUUUCUAGUUUAUUCCUGACGCUGAGGCGCGAGAGCAAGGGUAGCAAACAGGAUUAGAUACCCUGGUAGUCCUUGCCGUAAACGAUGCAUACUUGGUGUAGCUGGACUCAACCCCGGCUGUGCCGUAGCUAACGUGUUAAGUAUGCCACCUGAGGAGUACGCUCGCAAGGGUGAAACUCAAAAGAAUUGACGGGGGCCCGCACAAGCAGUGGAGCAUGUGGUUUAAUUCGAUGCAACGCGAAGAACCUUACCCAGGCUUGACAUAUAGAGGACGGCAUUAGAGAUAGUGCUUCCGCAAGGCCUCUAUACAGGUGCUGCAUGGCUGUCGUCAGCUCGUGCCGUGAGGUGUUGGGUUAAGUCCCGCAACGAGCGCAACCCUCGUCGCUAGUUACCAACAUGUAAUGAUGGGGACUCUAGCGAGACUGCCUAGGUUAACUAGGAGGAAGGUGAGGAUGACGUCAAGUCCGCAUGGCCUUUAUGUCUGGGGCUACACACGUGCUACAAUGGUCGGUACAGAAGGCAGCGAAGCCGAAAGGUGGAGCAAAUCCUCAAAGCCGAUCCCAGUUCGAAUAGAAGUCUGCAACUCGACUUCUUGAAGUUGGAAUUGCUAGUAAUGACGUGUCAGCAAUAACGUCGUGAAUACGUUCCCGGGCCU
rnacentral:rRNA from 1 species